UAUCCUAUAUUAAGUUAAGGAGGCCUUUACAGUGCACUUAAAACUUUGAGGCCAAAUAACUUGGAAACAAGGUGGUGACGUCAAUGAUUUUUCACCGCGUGGGUAACUAGGGACCACCUGGGACCAAUUUGGGUAGUUUUCUAAACCUGGUUCCCCGAAUCCGUUUCGGAAUAGACGGGUUGAUGACGUAAUCAAAAACCUUUAAAUCUUAAUAUCUUUGCAACCGUUUGUCAAAGAUACAUGAUCCUAUACAUUUUCUUAAUCGGCGUUUUAAGAUCUAUACGAUGAAGGCAACAGGUAUACAAAUUUCUUAAAAAAAAAAUUUGAGUUUUAACGGGCCAAUGCUGUCGUCGGCAAACUUUUUAAACCCUUAUUUCUCCUUGGGUGUUCCUUAAAAAAUAUAUGAUCCUAUACAUUAUUUUGAUCAGCGUUUCAAACUCUACACAUUACAGUCAACGAAUAAACUAAACUUCUCCAAAUAUAAUUUUUUGUAUCUGCACUGCUGACGUCAGCAAAAAAUCUAAAACAACCUAUUUUACCAUUGUCCCUCGACCUAAGUGGUUUUCUCCACUGGCCUUAUCGACUAGUCUAUAUAAUAAUACGCCAGUUCCGUGUCUCUGUGACAGGCAAAGUGGAUGUCUUCAUUUUCCUUUGAUAUUGCCGAAAAAUGCAUGUCUAAUAUGGUAAAUAUUCAGACAUUACGGCGCGACGUCAAUAACACUACUUUAACGUCAAUAUCCUAUAUUAAAUUAAUGAAGCCAUUACAGUGCACCUAAAACUUUGAGGCUAAAUAACUUGGAAACGAGUUGGUGACGUCAAUGAUUUUUCACCGCGUAGGUAACUAGGGACCACCUUGGACCAAUUUGGGUAAGUUUCCCAAACCUGGGUCCCCGAAUCCGUUUUGGGAAUGGACGGGUUGAUGACGUCAUCAAAAAGUCUUUAAACCCUAAUAUCUCUGCAACCGUUUGUCAAAGAUAUAUGAUCCUAUACAUUUUCUUGAUCAUCGUUUCAAGGUCCAUACGAUGAAGGUAACAGGGAUAUAAAUUUCUGAAAAAAUAUUUUUGCGUUUUAACGGGCCAUUGCUGACGUCAGCAAAAUUUUAAAACCCUUUUAUGUCUUUUGUUGUUCGUAGAAAAGUUAUGAUCCUAUAUUAUUUUGAUCAGCGUUUCAACCUCUACACGUUACAGGCAACGAAUAAACUAAAUUUCGCCAAUUUUCUUUUUUUUUUUUGGAUUUGCAAUGCUGACGACAGCAAACCAACAUUUUCAAUGUCCUAUUGCCUAAGUGGAUUUCUCCACGGGUCUUUAUCGACUAGUAUCUUAUAUUAAGUUAAGGAAGCUCUUACAGUGCACUUAAAAUUUUAAGGCCAGAUAACUGGGAAACGAGGUGGUGACGUCAAUGAUUUUUCACCACGUGGGUAACAAGGAACAACCUAAGACCAAUUUAAGUAAUUUUCCAAAACCCGGGUCCCCAAAUCCGUUUCAGAAUGGACGGGUUGAUGACGUCAUCAAAAAACCUUUAAACCCUAAUAUCUCCGCAACCGUUUAUCAAAAGUACAUGAUCCUAUACAUUUUCUUGAUCAGCCUUCCAAGAUCUAUACGAUGAAGGCAACAGGUAUACAACUUCGAAAAAAAAAUUCGGUUUUGACAGGCCAUUGCUGACGUCAGCAAAAUCUUUAAACCCUUUUACCUUAUUAACCGCUCACCAAAAGAAUAUGAUCAUAUACAUUUUCUUGAUCAGCAGUUGAAGCUCUGCACAAUAGAGGCAACGUGAAAACAAGGUUCUAAUUUUUUUUGUGGAUGAGUUGCUGACGUCAUCAUAAUUCAAAUCACGCUUCUUUUUUCAUUUUUAUCCUGCCUCAGUGGAUUUUUCCACAAGUUUUAUCAACUAGUUAUAUAAAUAUAAAAUAAAAUUGUAAUGACUUCACUAAUGUUAAUAUACUUUCCUUUGACGUCAAUAUUAUUUAAACAUCGAAGUUUGGUAAAUUACACAACCAUUUUAUGUUUUAUAGACUUUAUCAAAGAAAAUUGUGCAGAAUAUAAUCCACUUUGUAAAAGUCACACACAGUCAGACAGACAGAAGCAUUGUAUUAUUAUAUAGGUAAAUUAACGUAGUUAUGGAUAAAGAGCCAGUCAUUAGGUUGGGUUUACCAUAUAUAUUUAUAAAAAGUGGAUAAAUUUAAUUUUUGUAUACGCUAAAAGAUGGUUCUACGUAAAGAAAACCUUAUGUAAAAUGUUUUUAUUAUAUACGUGUUUUAUAUUAUUAUUUUCGCUACGGUAAUGUUACAGCUUGAAGCAAUUAAUAGCUAUGUCGCCUGUUGGAAUUUAUUUUCACAUGUGGAGUGUAAACUUGAAAGGACAUGAUGGCAGUUACUGAAAUCUCUUUUUUCUUAUUUAAAGGAUAACUAACGGUUGAUAACAAGUUCUGGUUAAAAUGUUCAUUAUAGUGUGAAUAUGAUCUGAGUAUUUUUUUUUAUAAUAAUUAAGAGAUAAUUAAGGUCAAAGUAGACCUACGGUCGCCGCCAAGUGUCGACGAAGCCUUUCUGUUCGGUAAAUUACUAACUUAUGUGACGUAAUUCCGUGUGGAUGUAAACAAAGACAUUCUGAAUGAACGAAGAGAGGGAAUGCUAAACUGUACUUCCUGUGAUUGUCUAGGAGUAAUUUUAUCCAUCAUGUUUUGAAAUAAAUAUCUUUUACACAAUAUAAUAAUGUUUAACUGUAAUAAAUUUGGACAUAGUUUAUCACUUGAAAAAUAUAAGUAUUACGUGUGUUGGAAUUUAUCAUGAAAUUUUUCUUGUGUUAUUUUUGUAUUAGAACAUAUUGAAAGACGACAGGUGCUUUAGUUUUCCAGUUUCGAAAAAAACAGCUCAAAUUAUUAUCUGCAAUAAAGUGUAGUCUAAAUAAUUUGCAAAACAAGAACAGUCUCAAGAAUUUAGCAUGCCUUCUUUAUCGCUCGAACUUUGCGAUAAAUUUAAAUCGCUCUGGGAACACGAAGAAGUUACUGAAUCUUCAUCCAUUAUCUUACAAAUCAUGUUGAGUUAUGUACACCGUGUGACGUCACAAAUCAACAAAAUAUCUACGAACCAAGUUGGCUUUUUGUUCGAUAAUGGCGGUGACCGUUGAUGUCAUUAUCCAUUUUGUUGUCCAAUUUUUGUGUGGACAAAAUUUGGACACAAAAAAUGAAAAAAUGUAAUUUUUUUAAUGCGAUGUUGUUUUCGUGAUAUGUAAGAAUGUUUUAAUUAUACCAAACAUAUAUAAUGUA